GUGGGGAAUAUUGGACAAUGGGCGCAAGCCUGAUCCAGCCAUGCCGCGUGAGUGAUGAAGGCCUUAGGGUUGUAAAGCUCUUUUGUCCGGGAAGAUAAUGACUGUACCGGAAGAAUAAGCCCCGGCUAACUUCGUGCCAGCAGCCGCGGUAAUACGAAGGGGGCUAGCGUUGUUCGGAAUCACUGGGCGUAAAGCGCACGUAGGCGGACCAUUAAGUCAGGGGUGAAAGCCUGGAGCUCAACUCCAGAACUGCCUUUGAUACUGAUGGUCUAGAGUAUGGAAGAGGUUGGUGGAACUGCGAGUGUAGAGGUGAAAUUCGUAGAUAUUCGCAAGAACACCAGUGGCGAAGGCGGCCAACUGGUCCGAUACUGACGCUGAGGCGCGAAAGCGUGGGGAGCAAACAGGAUUAGAAACCCCAGUAGUCC
rnacentral:rRNA from 1 species